rnacentral:rRNA from 1 species
UAGUCCACGCCGUAAACGAUGAGCACUAGUUGUCGGAGGUUUGAUCCCUUCGGUGACACAGCUAACGCGUUAAGUGCUCCGCCUGGGGAGUACGGUCGCAAGACUAAAACUCAAAGGAAUUGACGGGGGCCCGCACAAGCGGUGGAUUAUGUGGUUUAAUUCGAAGCAACGCGCACAACCUUACCUAGACUUGAAAUCCCGAGAACUUUCCAGAGAUGGAUUGGUGCUCUUCGGAGAACUCGGUGACAGGUGCUGCAUGGCUGUCGUCAGCUCGUGUUGUGAAAUGUUGGGUUAAGUCUCGCAACGAGCGCAACCCCUAUCUUUAGUUGCCAGCAUUAAGUUGGGCACUCUAGAGAGACUGCCUGGGUUAACCAGGAGGAAGGUGGGGAUGACGUCAAGUCCUCAUGGGCCCUUAUGUCUAGGGG